AGUGAACGCUGGCGGCAGGCCUAACACAUGCAAGUCGAACGGCAGCACAGGAGAGCUUGCUCUCUGGGUGGCGAGUGGCGGACGGGUGAGGAAUACAUCGGAAUCUGCCUAUUUGUGGGGGAUAACGUAGGGAAACUUACGCUAAUACCGCAUACGACCUACGGGUGAAAGUGGGGGACCGCAAGGCCUCACGCAGAUAGAUGAGCCGAUGUCGGAUUAGCUAGUUGGCGGGGUAAUGGCCCACCAAGGCGACGAUCCGUAGCUGGUCUGAGAGGAUGAUCAGCCACACUGGAACUGAGACACGGUCCAGACUCCUACGGGAGGCAGCAGUGGGGAAUAUUGGACAAUGGGCGCAAGCCUGAUCCAGCCAUGCCGCGUGGGUGAAGAAGGCCUUCGGGUUGUAAAGCCCUUUUGUCCGGAAAGAAAAGCAUUCGGUUAAUAACCGGGUGUCAUGACGGUACCGGAAGAAUAAGCACCGGCUAACUUCGUGCCAGCCGCCGCCGUAACAC
rnacentral:rRNA from 1 species